ACGCGGAGAGAUCAGAGUACAUUGCUCUCGCGAGAUACAAGAGUGGAGAAUGAACUGAUGCCUCUCAGCUGUCUCUUUGUUUAGAUCAAGAUAAAUAGCUAGCAAAAAUGUAGCUGAUUAGCUAGAAAGCUAACCAGUUAUGUUUACAGCAAUAAACAGGAGAAGUUUGGGACAAUUGGUUGCAGACCAGAUCAGUAAAGUCCACGGGGUCAAGAAGAUUCUUGUGGCUCAACAUGACUGCUACAAAGGACUGUUACCAGAGGAAUUGACUCCUUUGAUUCUUGCUACCCAGAAACAGUUCACCUUCACACACAUCUGUGCAGGAGCUUCUGCUUUUGGGAAGAAUCUCCUUCCCAGAGUGUCAGCCAAGCUGGAUGUUGCAACUCUCUCUGACAUCACCGAGGUCAAAUCUCAAGACACCUUCGUUAGAACAAUUUACGCUGGUAAUGCCCUGGCCACAGUGAAGUGCAAUGAGGAAGUCAAGGUGUUCACAGUGAGGGGAACUUCCUUUGAACCUGCUGCUGUGGAGCGAGGCAGUGCUGCUACUGAACAGGUUGCCUCACCCUCUCCUGCGGGGAUGUCAGAAUGGCUUGAGCAGAGCCUGACCAAGAGCGAUCGACCAGAGCUCACUAGUGCCAAAGUGGUAGUGUCUGGAGGACGAGGGCUGAAGAGCGGUGAGAACUUCAAACUGCUGUACGACCUCGCUGACAAAAUGGGCGCUGCAGUGGGGGCUUCCAGAGCUGCUGUGGAUGCUGGCUACGUCCCCAAUGACAUGCAGGUUGGCCAGACUGGCAAGAUUGUAGCACCUGAACUCUACAUCGCAGUGGGCAUCUCUGGAGCUAUUCAGCACCUGGCUGGGAUGAAGGACAGCAAGUUGACCCACUUUUACAACAAGUGGAGGGCAGAAUACGUCUGUCCCUGGAAGAGAACUGUUUUAUGUAAAUGAAAAAUGGAAAAACUCUUUCGUAGCCAUGACAACAGUCUCCUGAGUGGAUUUCUUCCACCAAGAUAAUCGUUGCCAUCAACAAAGAUCCAGAGGCACCUAUUUUCCAGGCUGUUCCUGAGAUGACUGCAGCAUUGAAGAAGUGAUCGCCAUCAUGAUCCAACCAAGAUCCUAUAAUACUCCGAAAUCUGAAGACGAAAGAUUAACCCCUUAUAAGCUGCCAGUUUUAACUACCCAAAAGAAAAUCCUGCCUUAAACUGCAUUUCAUGCUUCUUGUGCAUUUUGAAAUAGGUGCUUAAAAUGUCUAGAUCUAAUACAUCUUUGAUUGUGAUAUCAUUUUAAUGAAUAAUAAAGCUAGUGGAUACGCUACAAUGUCUCA